GAGCAGGGCAGGCCAGUGGGCAGCACAGAGCAUCCCAGAGGAAGCCAUAGUUAACCGUAGCCUGGGACUGGACAUCCAUAUCUUCAGAAUCGGUUUCAGGAAGCCCCGAAAUCUGAAUUCCCAGAAGGAAACCAGCCAAUAGUUCUCCUCACCCAGACACGCCAGAGAUGCCUUUUCCAGGAGCGCAGGGCACAGAGGAGGACCACAGGACUCAGCAUACUCUGCUCUAAGAACCUGAGGAGCGCUGCAGCUCACAGUUGGAGAGGGCUUUGGGACCUGACUUCAUUUAACUGGGGAUCUCUGAAAGUAUGAAGGCUGGCGAGCUACCUUGAGACCUGUAUUACUGAGAAUUCAGUACUCAAUAUUCGGGGUGGGGGAGGGAAAUU
rnacentral:lncRNA from 1 species